UAUGUAUAUAGCCAGUGGUGCCCGUGGUCAUCGGAGCACUCGGGCAGUGACCCCAAACUGGAGUGGAGUGGCUACAGCAGAUCCCUGGAAGAACACCAGACAUCUCAGUUCAGAAAAGUGCAGUAGUAGCAAGUGCAAAGAUACUGUGCAGAAGCUCCCAGGCCUCUGGUAGAGGACCCGAGCUCGAAGGUUGAGACCACCCGCGGAGGGUGAAGGACGAAGUUUUGUGAAAAAACUAUAUGAUGAACAUAAAAAAUAUGGUGAACACAACUGGUCCAAGCACAGAACCUUGCGGAACUCCGUGACUAACCUUAGUGCGCACUCACCGUUAACAUGUACAAACUAAGAUCGAUCUGAUAGGAUUUAAACCAGCUUAGUGUGGUUCCUGUAAUGCCAAUUACAUGUUUCAGUCUCUGUAAUAGGAUGUUAUAGUCAAUGGUGUUGAACGCAGUACUAAGAUCUAACAAGAUAAGUACAGAGACAAGUCCAUUGUCUGAUGCAAUUAAAAGGUCAUGUGUAAUUUUCACCAGUGCUGUCUCUGUGCUAUGAUGCACUCUAAAUCCUGACUGAAAAUCCUCAAAUAAACUAUUGUUAUUUAGAAAGUCACACAACUGAUUGGCGACUUCUUUCUCAAGGAUCUUAGAGAGAAAGGGAAGGUUAGAUAUAGGUCUGUUGUUGGCUAAAACCCCUGGAUCAAGAGUGGGCUUUUUAAGAAGCGGUUUUAUUAUAGCUACUUUAAAGGAUUGUGGUAUAUAGCCUGUUAAUGAAGACAUAUUGAUCCUAUCCAGUAACAAAGUGCUAACUACGGGUAAAACGUCUUUAAGCAGCCUAGUUGGAAUGGGGUCUAAGAGACAGGUUGUUGGCUUAGAUGAAUUAAUCGUCGAAGUUAGUUGAGGAAGGUUGAUAGGAGCAAAGCAGUCAAAAUAUAUAUCAGGUUUUACAGUUGUUUCUAAGAUUCCUGUGUUUGAAGAUAAAUGGGUUCUGGUUGAGAGCAGGACAUGGUUAAUUUUUUCCUCUAAUAGUUAAAAUUUUAUUAUAAAAGAAACUCAUGAAGUCGUUACUACUGAGGGCUAUAGGAAUACAUGGUACAAUAGAGCUAUGACUCUGUCAGCCUGGCUACAGUACUGAAAAGAAACCUGGUGUUGUUUUUAUUUUCCUCUAUUAAUGAUAAGUAGUAAGCUGCUCUGGCAUUACGGAGGGCCUUCCUGUAUGUUUUAAGACUAUCUUGCCAAACUAAACGAGAUUCUUCCAGGUUGUUGGAAUGCCAUUUCCUUUCAAGUUUUCGUGAUGUUUGCUUUAAUUUGUGGGUUAUACCAUGGAGAUAACCUUCUUUAUUUUAUUAUCUUCUUUUUUUUAGAGGGGCGAUAGAAUCGAGUGUCGUUCGCAAUUAGCCUGCAGCACUAACAAGAUGGUUAGUUUGGGAGGGGCUGCGAUUUGCAUAGGAGACGUCUGUUAUAUUGAGACAUAACAUUGAAUUAAAUGCAAAUGGGAUCGCUUCCUUGAAUUUAGCCACAGCAUUAUCAGAUAGACAUUUAGAGUAGGAAUUUUUACCUAAUGGCGUGUAGUCCAGUAAUAGCAGUUCAAAAGUUUUAAAUAAUCAUCCGAUAAUGAAGGAUUUUGUGGAAAGACUAUUAAAUGUUCAAUUUCAAUGCUGUAUACCAGAACAAGGUCGAGGGUGUGGUUAAAACUUGGAGUGGCUUCAUGUACACUCUGACAAAAGCCAAUCGAAUCUAAUAAUGAGAUAAACGCAGUACUAAGACUAUCAUUUUCAACGUCCACAUGAAUAUUGAAAUCACCUACAAUAAUUACUUUGUCCAUCCAGGGGCUUGGUAAUCCAUCAAGGAAACACUAUUAUUUUUGGAAACUUUAGAAAAAUAAAAGUGAUAAUUUGAUUUAUGUACUUAUUUAUCUAAUGGCGACUAUACAAACAACUCUAUUACUGUUUUGGUGAAUGAGAUGUGGCAUGUUGGCAGACAUGUUGACUUUCUCCUCUCCAAUCACAAGCUGUGUUAUUAUGUGGUGAACUGUGCACAAAGCACUGCACCAAUGACUAUUGCAAAAAAUUUUAAGAUCUAUGCUGUGUCCUGAGCAUUUAGAAAUCUACUGCAACACGGACGCGACCUUCAGAGAGUAAAUAAUGUGACAAGAUAACUAUCUGAAAUAGGGCUCCUGGAAUGAAUUUCAGGAGUCGAAUAUAAAUCGAAUAGUAAAAAAAAAGUGAAUAGUAAUUUCAGCAUUCAAUUAGGUAUUCGAAUGUGUAUUUUUAAAUUUUUGGUAAGCUAGGUGAUCUAGAGUCUGAGGAAACACAGCUAAAGCAGGCAAGAAUGACCUUUCUUUUUGCAUCCCUCCAGAUUGAAAUGUUUAUUAAAGUUGACAAGUUAACAUUAUUCAUUUUGUACCUAAGCUUAAUUAUUUCUUAGCAAGAAAGCUAUCACCUGUUGGUAUUUCCAAAUGUUUAUUGUAAUGUUGGAAUGCCCUCUAGUGGACAGAACAUAUAACAACCACAUGCUGAUAGUGGCAUUGGCAAUGCAUGAGACUGUGUAGACAGUGUAUAGGUACAUAGUAAAUAUUAAUAAUAGGCUAAAUUUGAGCAUUAAAAAUUAGAAUAUAAUUUGAAUAUUGGUGUUUUAUUUUGUUUGCAAACAUUUUAUUACUGAACAGAAAUUGAGAAACAGAGAAAUCAGCUUGGUGGAAGUGACGCUGCGGUCUGCACCAUGUAUGGAAUGGCAUUAUUUCGCAGGUCUCUGCCCUUUUGUUUUUGAUGAGAGUUGUCAAGUUUUUGGGGAGUAAUUAAGUAGUAGUUAGUGUGUUAUUUGUGAAAUGUUUCUUAACUUUUGUUAUUGGAAAAUGGCAUCUGCACGCAAACUGACCCUGCAACAAGCUUUGGAAGCUUGUUUGGAGAGUGAGGAAGAUGUGAGUCGAGUUGAGUUGUUAUACAGUGGACUUCAAUGUUUAUUCAGGAAAGUCGGCUUUUCCUUCAAGAGUUGGACUGGCUUAUGACUUAUGUAAUGUGCCUUGUGAAGCCUGGAUACCUGGGAACUGGAUCUCAUCUAUUUGUGGACAACUUCUACACAAGCCCAAGACUGUUCAACGACCUGUUUACCAUGAACAUUGGGGCUUGUGGGAUUUACAAGGAGAACAGGAAGGGCUGCCCAUGCUCAGCAUCCACUGCCCUAAAAACAAAAAAAAGAUCCCAGAGGUACCGUUAGGUGGACACACGAUGGCCCAAUUGUUUGUCAAGUGGGCGGAUACACAUGAGGUUGCGGCCUGCUCCACAGUGCAUGUGGCACACUGGUGGCACGGUCGAAAGAAAGCUGAAGAGCGCAGCUGGCUGGUCAACUUUGGCUGUCCCAUGCCCCACACCUGUGAAAUAGUACAACAAACACAUGGGAGGUGUGGAUUUAUCAGACCAGCUGAUCAGUGUCACAAGACCCUAAGAUGUUACCACACAUUUUUAUCACUUUGUGGACAUUGCAGUGACAAACAGCUACAUCCUCUACAAGGAAUUAGGGCGCCCCAGUUGCCAACACUGCACAGACCAGUUGUUGAGAAUCGCUGAUCUGACACCAAAUAACACACAAUAAUUAAGCAAAGGUGUACAAAACAACACAUGAAAGCAGAAGUUAAAGUCAGACACACUGACCAAGGCAGAGUUACGCCCACAAAUGUAAAAUUACAGAUGACAAGUCGUUAGAUUUUAAUUUGAUUUGAUGUAUUUCUUACAUAGGCCAGAGAGAGAUAAACAAUACCUUCUGUCACUUUUUAAUUGACAAAUGGAAAAAUGAUUGAUGGUGACCUUUGACCUUUGAUUAAACAAGAGAAAGUGGGGGGAAAUGUAUAUACAUGUGUUGGCAGGCCAGAGCCGGCACCCUGUUGAUAUGGGAUGUUUGAUCAUUGCAUGGGGGUGACUCGCAUGUCCUCACUGACCAGCCGCUCUGAUAGCACCCAAGAAUGGAAUGCAGCGCCUGGAGAGGUCUCUGUGCUGUGUCUCCAAAUAUAUCUGUAUUGUUUGAUUGUUUGUAUUGUUUGUAAUAUUUGUGGGGAUAUAAAUACUAGUUAAAGACAUUUGUAGGUCUCGUGUGGAUCCUCUCUCAUCAACCAACUCGCCUGAGUUAGAGGUUAGCUUACCUUGACAUGACGUAGACAGAUAACAAAGGGAGACACAAAGAACAGGACUUCUGAAUCUGACAACGGAGAAUGGCUCAAGCAUCCGGUAAAUUACCUAUAUCUUUAAAGCUAAAUUUUACGCGUUUAAACCUUUAGGCAGAAACAUAGGGACUUUUUUUCAUUCUUUGCAGUGACUCUAAACGGAGGGCUGAACCUUCAAGCAGAGGAGUCUGCAGAACCAGAAGCUCCUGCUGACAGUGGACCUGAUGUGUAGCUGUGUGUAGCCUACUGAAGGAGCCGCACCAGCUAUCGGCCUCAAAGGGUCCUGGCUUCGACAUCCCAUCCUGAACUCCGUCAUAUCGCCGGGAAUAUAAUCCUCUUGUCUGAAAUAAGCGCAGCACACAACUGUGUUUUUCGUUACAGAUGCAGCAGUGACCUGCCGGGCGAAUUACACUACAGCACUGAUAUUAUUAGUGAGGCUGUGAGCAGACAGCGUCAAUCAAUGCAGUUGGGAAAAUAGCUCCCAUAAAUGUAAAUAAAUGAAGUCGCUUGUGGCUUCUUUUGUUACGUAAUAUGAUGUGAUGUAAGAGCAUUGCUCAAAACAGCUACUUCCUCUGAAAUGUUGCCCUUAUGUCUUUUAAAACAUAAAAUUCUGCAUUAACCUUUCAAAUGGUCAUUUUCAGGAAAGUAUAAAUUUAAUAUAAAAUUCAACCUGCAAGUUGCUCUUAUCAUGUCAUUGCAUAACUUAAACACUCCUUCGUACAGUCUUUGCUUCAUACCCAUACAUUUCUCCCACAGUGACAGAAUUCCACCAAAUCAUUGUCAUAUUUCAUAUUUCCUGUGCUUCAGCACGUCUCCUACUGUGUGUACUUCCCAAUGUGUGUGUGUGUUAGUGUGUGAUAUUUACUCUGCAAUUUGUGAUUAUAAUUUCAGAGUACAUUUCCUGUAAUUUUUCUGGCUCUAAAGGAGGGAGCCGAGCCUAAUGCCACACACACACACAGCUGACGAUUUUUGUUCUUUGUGAAUAUCUGAACUAGAGUGCCAGUAAAAGGAGCACAGACCCAGCCUUGUUUCUUGAUCCUUCAUUUGCCACACCACAACACAAGACAGAUCUACAGUGGGAGUGUUGCACACUGGUUACAUGUGUUAUAUAAUGCAAUGGCUGAUUGAAUAAAGGAAUUCCUUUUUAUGUUACUUUUGCAACUGGGAGCCGGAAGACUUCCCCUGAUGGAAGUCUGAAGCUCACUGAACAAGGGCUGUUGUGGCUGCAGAUCCUCAGGCAGACUGUUCCAAUGGCUCCGAGCAUAAAAACUAAAAGCUGCCUCACCAAAGGUUUUAGCCUGCACUUUGGAACAACCAAAAUACUAGUGCCACAGGACCUGAGGGGCCAUCCUGGCUGAGAGAUUGGAAGCAU